rnacentral:rRNA from 1 species
GAUGAACGCUAGCGGCAGGCUUAACACAUGCAAGUCGAGGGGUAUAGUAGCAAUACUAGAGACCGGCGCACGGGUGCGUAACGCGUAUGCAACCUACCUUUUACAGAGGGAUAGCCCCAGAGAAAUUUGGAUUAAUACCUCAUAGUGUUAUUAGAUGGCAUCAUUUGAUAACUAAAGUUCCAACGGUAAAGAUGGGCAUGCGUCCUAUUAGCUAGAUGGUAAGGUAACGGCUUACCAUGGCUACGAUAGGUAGGGGUCCUGAGAGGGAGAUCCCCCACACUGGUACUGAGACACGGACCAGACUCCUACGGGAGGCAGCAGUGAGGAAUAUUGGACAAUGGGCGCAAGCCUGAUCCAGCCAUGCCGCGUGCAGGAAGAAGCAUCUAUGGUGUGUAAACUGCUUUGUACGGGAAGAAACACUCCUACGUGUAGGAGCUUGACGGUACCGUAAGAAUAAGGAUCGCUAACUCCGUGCCAGCAGCCG